ACUGUCUGAUUUGGAUUCCAAUCUAUCUCUCCAUCUGGCCACAUAUAUGGACGUAUCACCAUCGAUGCAAUUAAUUAACUAGUUAGUUGUACCAACGUACCAUAUAUAGUGGUUGAGAGCAAUUGAGCGGCACGAUAGAAUAUGGAAAAUGUUUGCUUUAAACCGGUUGAUUUUCUGGCUCUGUAAGCCGCCUCGUACGCGCGCCACGUGCCCCACUCAGCCACCGCUUUCAUCCCCACCUUAUCCCCUCGGACGCUCUCUCUUCCGCUCAUUCCACUUCUCAUCUUCUUCCUUCUUUUUUCCCCUCUCUCUCAUUUGCAACUCUGACCGACGAGCGAACACUGAAAACUAUCAGUUCGCGUGGGCUGCUGCCACCUGCUGCUUUUGCAAGGAAGAGGCAACGCCGGCCAAUUCCACAUAUCAUUGCGUGCUGCAUGGCGAAGCUCCCGCGCGCCACAGGGAGGGCUGCAAUGGCGGCCGCUUGUACUACAGACGACGAAGCAUCCGCCAUCGCCAUCGUCACCGCCGCGUGCUGCGUCGCGGCAUUCCCGUUGCCGCCAUGCUGUGUCGCAGCAUACACUCGUCGCCGCCGCGCCGGUGAAGCUUCGCCGAGCCAUUAGGUGCUGUGAUUUCGACGGGGGAAGCCGGUGCCGCGAUGGAGCACCAACCCGCGGUGGUGCCGUUGCAGUGAAGCUCCGCCGGCGGCGCUGUCGCGGUGCUACAAUGGAGCCGGCCGCGCGCCGGUGAUGGCCCUGUGCAGUGAAGCUUCGCCGAGCCACGGGGUGCUGCGAUGGAGUUUGGACGGGGCCAGCCGGUGCCGUGAGGGAGCACCAACGCGCGGUGGUGCCGUUGCAGUGAAGCUCCACCGGCGGAGCCGUUGCGGUGCUGCAAUGGAGCCUGCCGCGUCGUCGCGGUGCUGAGGUGAAACAUCGUCGAGACCAUUGUGUGCUGCAUGGAGCAUCGAUGGCGUUGCAGUGAAGCAUCACCGGGAGCGCCGCCGUGUCGGGACGACGGCACUUCGAUGGAGCUUCGCGGGGGGCGGUGUUUCUAUGAAGCUUCGUCGAGGUCAUUUAGUGUUGCAAUGGAGCUUCGCUGGGGUGCCACCAGUGCUGCAAUGGGCUUCACGGGGCCGCCGAGGUUGCCAUGAAACUUCGUCGAGCGGCCGAUGUUUCAAUGGAGCAUCGCCGGCGGCGUUGGGUGCUGCCAUGGAGCGCCGCCGUGUCAAUGUUUGUCGCUUCAGUGAAGCGUUGCCGGCUGCUCCGGGUGUUGCGAGAUCGAAGGAGAGAAGGGGUUUGUUGUGCGAUGUGAGGAGAAGAUCGGGUGCGCAUUGACCAUUCAAACCGGUUAACAGAAGGGAUCCAACGGUGCGAUCUGGCUGAUCAAACAGCCAGGGAGGCGACUUAAAUAUCGUUAGCAUCAGCCGGUUGAUUUGUAGUACUGGAACGUAAACAUGGCAUGGUCGUCAUGCUAAAGACCUUUUUUUUCUUGUGGGUCUUGAUCAGACACUCGGGUGUAACCGUGUAAAGGGCGCAUUGUUUUGGCUGUCGGAAGCAUUUGCUUCUCAGAUGAACAGUAAAAUUGAAAUCAAUAAGAGAAUAUUGAUUUUUACAUGUUCAUGUUGUGUCCAAAGCGAGCUUUGACAAUUUUCAUGCACAACAGAACAAUAG
rnacentral:rRNA from 1 species